rnacentral:rRNA from 1 species
CCAAUAGCGUAUAUUAAAGUUGUUGCAGUUAAAAAGCUCGUAGUUGAAUUUCGGGGUUAGCAGGUCGGUCGUGCCAUUGGUAUGAACUGGUCUCGCUGAUUCCUCCCUCUUGACGAACUGUGAUGCCAUUAAUUUGGUGUCGCAGGGAAUCAGGACUGUUACUUUGAAAAAAUUAGAGUGUUUAAAGCAGGCUUUAGCUU